rnacentral:lncRNA from 1 species
UCCUCAGUAGAAUUUAACUAUUGACUUAAAGGGUCAGCAUUACGCCCUAUAGCGGAAGGCUAUAUUGGAUCAAGUUAUAUACAAAAUGACGGGAGACUGAGUAGGGCCUAGUUAUGUCCGAAAUUGCAUGAGUUUGGUUGGGACGAUUCAAAAUCGAGAUUCGUGGGCAUUGUAUCUAUAUAUUUUAAGUGAAUUAGUUACAUAUUUCUAACCGUUUGAACUCUUAGGAUUAAUGGUUAGCGUCAACGAUCGGACGCCGCCAAAUAAUGGGAUUUGUUGACACAUCAAAAUUUAUCUAUUUUAAGAAACAGUUCUUUAGUUUUCGGAAAUUUAAAUUUGUAAAAAUAAAAAAAAGAAGAAAAGG